rnacentral:lncRNA from 1 species
AAAAUAUUUAAAAAAUAAACUUUAUAAUUAUUCGAUAUUAUUUGGCUAGUGAUCCAAAAGUCUCAAAAUUAACAAAUUUAAGGGCCAAUGUGAUGCGUUUGUAAAUUUAAUGAUGUAAAAUAAUUCAAAUCUGAUAAAAUUUUUAUAGAAUUUUUUUUACAAUUUAUAAUAAAAUAUAAUCUACCUCUGAUUUUAAAUUCAAAUAUUUUAUCUUUAUUUUUUAUGAGAUUUUUAUUUUCGGCAGUUUAUUUUUAAACUACUCGUUUCAUAGAUAAAUUAUAUUAAAAAAUUACGAAAUUUAGUUUCCAAAUACUUAAAAUAGUGUAGAUCAAGUCUAAUGGAGCCGAUUGUCGAUUUGGAAGCUGUAUAAUAAAAAACAACUUGAUAGCAUGGUACCAUCCGUGCUACCGAUAGUACAUAGCCGAACUCAUAUAGAACUAUAUAUAUAUCGGCUAGGGCUACUAUCCUCUUAAGAGGAUAGUAGCAUUUAUACUCUCAAAUUGUUCUUGAUGAUAGAGAUUUCGAAUCGAUGAUCGGCGCCGUUGAAGUUGAUGUAGAGUAUUUAAAAUAUCUAGAAACUAAAUUUCAUAAAUUUUAAAAAUUAUUUAUAUGGUGAUCAAAGUGUCGUAAAAUCGACAAUUUUUGACGGCCUAUAUGAGCCGUUUGCUUGUUUAACGGUGUAGAGCAAUCAAAAUUGUUUGAGUUUUUAAUAGAAUAUUCUUUAUACUAUUUAGAUAAUGUUUGAUAACUCUGAUUAUGAAUUGAGAAAGUCUAACCUCUAUUUUAAGAAGGUUAUUCAUUUAUAACCGUUCAUUUUUCAAUUCUUAAGAUGAACUUGAUAAUGAUUUUUAAAUAUUAUAAAAUUUGGUUUCUAAACAUUUCUAAUUGUGUAAAUCAAUUUCAACAGUGCCGAUUAUCAAUUUGACGUUCCGAUCAUUCAAAACAACUUGAGAGGACAAUAUCUUCAAUCCUAUUAAUAGGAUAGUAGAUGGACUCCAUAUAUAUAUAGAGGUUAAAUUUUCUCAAUUCAUAAUCAGAGUUAUCAUACAUUAUUUAAAUAGUAUAAAAAAAUUUUUAUCAAAAAUUCAAGCAAUUUGGAUUACUCUACACCGUUAAACAAAUAAACGGCUCAUAUAGGCCGUCAAAAAUUGUCGAUUUUACGACACUUUGAUCACCAUGUAAAUAAUUUUUAAAAUUUAUGAAAUUUAGUUUCUAGAUAUUUCAAAUACUCUAGAUCAA